rnacentral:rRNA from 1 species
CGCUGGCGGCACGCCUUAUACAUGCAAGUCGAACGAAGUAGCAAUACUUAGUGGCAGACGGGUGAGUAACAUGUGGGUAUCUUCCCUUUGGUGAGGAAUAACACGAGGAAACUUGUGCUAAUACCUCAUAAGUCUUUACGGAGAAAGCUUUAUGCGCCAAUGGAUGAGCCCGCACUAGAUUAGUUUGUUGGUGGGGUAAUGGCUUACCAAGACAGUGAUCUAUAGCUGAUCUGAGAGGAUGAUCAGCCACAUUGGAACUGAGACACGGUCCAAACUCCUACGGGAGGCAGCAGUAGGGAAUAUUGCACAAUGGAGGAAACUCUGAUGCAGCGAUGCCGCGUGAGUGAAGAAGGCCUUUGGGUUGUAAAGCUCUUUCGUCGGGGAAGAAAAUGACUGUACCCGAAUAAGAAGGUCCGGCUAACUUCGUGCCAGCAGCCGCGGUAAUACGAAGGGACCUAGCGUAGUUCGGAAUUACUGGGCUUAAAGAGUUCGUAGGUGGUUAAAAUAGUUGGUGGUGAAAUCCCAGAGCUUAACUCUGGAACUGCCAUCAAAACUUUUUAGCUAGAGUAUGAUAGAGGAAAGCAGAAUUUCUAGUGUAGAGGUGAAAUUCGUAGAUAUUAGAAAGAAUACCAAUUGCGAAGGCAGCUUUCUGGAUCAUUACUGACACUGAGGAACGAAAGCAUGGGUAGCGAAGAGGAUUAGAUACCCUCGUAGUCCAUGCCGUAAACGAUGUGUGUUAGACGUUGGAAAUUUAUUUUCAGUGUCGCAGCGAAAGCAUUAAACACACCGCCUGGGGAGU